AAGUUAGCUAACUUCUCUGAUGCUUCGAACCAGCUGUAAUAUCCAGUCAUGGCAAUGUCUAGGAACCCGAAGGUAUCUCCACCAAAGUAAGGUUUGUCUCCAAGCUCAGAUUCAAGAAUCUUGAGUGCUUCAAUAUACUCUUUCUUGGCUGUCUCUUGUUCCUCGCCUUUUGUUUGCCAGAGCUGAUCCGCCGGCUUGAGCAACUGCUCCCCAUUUCACAGAUCAAAUCCAAAACAUACUCAAUUAUGAGUCCACGAAACAAAACCCUAAAAGGUGUAAGAAAAAACUCUAAAACAGAGGUUUUUGAAAUUGGUACCUUGGUGUCGACGAAAUCGACCCAGAAUCUGGCCUGAGCUCUCUGGUAAGGAUCGGAAGGGAGGAUAGGGUUUCUGUCGGACCAGACCUCGUCGAUGUACUGGACAACGUUCAUGGAUUCGCAGACAGGUUUACCAUUGUGGAUGAGAACUGGAAUCUUCUUGUGAACCGGAUUCAUCUGAAGAAGCAAAGGGCUCUUGUCUCUCAGAUUCUCUUCUCUGCAUUCAAACUCAACACCUUUCUCUCUUAGCGCGAUUCUCGCUCUUAUUCCGAAUGGACUCGGCCAGUAAUCCAGAAGGAUCACUUCAUCCGCCAUUGUUGUGAAAGAAGGAUCUCUUCUUUGAUGUAUACUCUUUAUCGGUGAUUCUUACUUAAUAGAGGUAAAGCAGUAUAAUUAUAAUUAGGAGUUUGUAUUGCGCUGCUGAUGUGUAUAUAUAUUAUUAUUGAGUACUGUAAACAAAAAUGAAAAAUUAAUUGAACCUUGGAAAGCUAAGAGAGACAACGAAGCAAGCAAGGUGUGAACGACGUUAAACAAGUCAACUUAAUGUUAUCGAAUUCGAUAUGUUUUUUAAAUGUAGUUUUAAAGAUGCUUAGGCCACUGCUUACGUCAUAGUAAUAGUAUAUGCUUUAUCUGUUCUUGUUCAUAAAAAUACACGACAGUAAUCUUUUGCUUAAUUCAUACAAUUUUGAACUCAAAACAUUUAUCUCUUUAUCUUGUUUAAGACAUAUACUCUCGGAGUUGCCUCAUGUGGUAACUCUCUUCUUAAUCUUUGUAAGAGAGCAAUCAAAAAUCAUUUGUAUCUUGGUGACAAUCUUUAGUCUCUUUUAUCUUAGUUUCUCUAUACAAUAAUCUAAAUCUUAUUUCUUAGCUAUCUUAAUAAAUAUUGAAUCUUUCUUGUUUUGAGAUUUCCUUCAGGAAGCUCCAGGAGACUUGAACAAUGACUGAGAUUCAAAUAUUUGAGACUAAUGGCAUUCCCAACUAGAUGAGGGGAGCUUCACUAGAUUUAUGCAUUCAUUGAGACUUAAUAUAUGGAGGUUGAUGAGACUUCCAAACAUAGAUGAGGGAAGCUCCACCAGUUUUGAGCAUUCACUAACCUCCAAAUUCUUGAGAUUAAUGAGAUUUCCAAUGGAUGAGGGAAGCUCUACCAGAUUAAUGGCACCUCUAAUAGAUGAGGGAAACUACAAGAGUAGAGGUAGUAAGCUGUGUCAAACGUAUUAAAUUAACAUAACAAGUGAAGGGAACUAUCUUCAAGAUAAAUGAAGGAAACUUACUGUAUAUCAAGUUCACCUUUAAUCGCCUGAAUGAGUUCAGUACCAGUAGAUUCUUCUCUCUUGAUCUCAUUUUUAAUGAAAGGUGAAGAAUCAAUAUAUUUGGUUUCUUGAUUGAAUCAAAAACAUUUUCUAACAAAAAAAAAGUAAUGUACACAAAAGCGUGAAGAAGCCUAUAUAGCAGCAGCAACACUAGUAAGGAGAAAAGAUGAAUCCAUUAGCAUAAAGAUUGCAGAGAGAAUCAACCAAUCAAUCAACAAGAGAGCUUUUUUAAUACUCAGAAACUGAUAAAAUCCAGUAAGAGACUUUGUACAUUAUUGAACAAUAUAAUCAUGAUUCAGUUACGUUGAGAAAAGACUGAUACAGAACAAGAGAGAGGAAAGCUUCACGGAUGUUUCCAAGAAUGAGAACUAACCAAAAAAAAAAAAACAGAUCUCAAGAAAAUAGAGUAAAUAAAAUAAACAGGCAAGAGGGGAAUAGAAUUAAGAAGCAUCAAGAUCAAAGAUCAGGACAAUGCAUAAAAAGCCUCCUUUGGCUGCUUCAACGGUGAAACAAACAUCUAUCGACACAAAGACACUGACCCGAAAUUAGAUUCGCAGACUCAUAAAUAAGCUCAAGUUCCGAACUUGUGGCAAUUACGUAAUCAAGGGCACAGACAACAAAACGAAUUUAUGGAUAUGGUACCUUGGUGUCUAUGAACACGACCAAGAACCUGGCCUGAGCUCUCUGGGGUAAGGGAUUUCGUCCGGACCAGACCUCGCCAGUGUACUGGACGACGUUGAUGGAUUCGAGUCUUCGUGUGAAUCGGAUUAAUUAGAACUUCAAACUAGCAAAUCGAAACUAAGAUCAGUAACGCAGGCCACAUUGUUACACAAAUCAGAAAUAGUAAUGGUUUUAAUAUAUUGCCAAAUAAAUCAAAUCAUUACGAUUCCAGGCAAAAGGGUAAAAAAAAGGAAAAAAGGAAACUAAGUCGGUAACUAACUAGUAAAGUAGUAACCAAACUAGAUACAAAUGCAACUAGAAAAAAUAGAAAGUUUUUUACCCGAACCUAAAUAACGGCUAGAUUAUCACCGAACCUAAACACUCUUGUGUCUUGUCAGUGAAAAAAGGCCAGUUUAUAUAUAAGUAUUAUUACCAUUUUAGAAUGAAACUUCACAAACCAGAGAAAAUAAACAGAGUGGGAGAGAAAGAUGAAAUAGCAUGGCUCUGCCCUUGAUUUUUUUAUUUUCUAACGAUUUCUUCUUCCUUUGCUUCUAUUUCAUCUAUGAUAUCUUAGAUUUUUGAUUGUUGGAUUUGUUCCUAUCCUCUUUUCGAAAUUUUCACCAAAGCACUGACCAGAGAAGAGACGAGAGAAGCGAGAUGGAGGAAGAUGAUGAUAAAUUGAUGAUGAUUCUGCUCUGAUUCAUUUGUUUAGAAUCAAGGAAGGGUGAUGGUUGAAAAGCCUGGAUGGAUCCGACAGUACGAAGAGGGAAGAUGUGAGAAGAUAUGAACAGCAGCUUUCUCAUCAGUCACGUUCGGAGCGUCAGAAGCAAUCUCUUCUUCAGCCCUUACCGUAAUCACAAGCCCUUGAUCAUGAACAAAAAGAGGUCCAAUUUCUAGCUCAUCUUUUUUUUUUUUUUUUAAUCUUGAAAACUUUCAUAAACUAUAUACUAAGUACAAAUUAUUAUUUUAAGUUGAACUAUUAGUUCUAAAUUUUUCAAAUUUCAAAUAAUGAAAACUUGGAUGCUAAAUUUGCAAUACGUUGUCGGAGACUAACCGGAUUUUGGAUCGUGUCAUUGGACAUCGUCCUUGAUUGUUAGAGAUUCCAUAAAUUCAAUUUGUUUUCGCAUCGUUAUGUAAAUUUAUCAUUCAAGUUUUAAUUUAUUUGUAAAAAAGCUUUUAAAACUUAAGAUUUUCAUCAUGGAUUUUAAACUUUUUCAACAAAAUUUCCCAUAUUUUCAUUUUUUUUAAGUUGAACCUAUUAGUUUUAAAAUUUUCAAAUUUCGAAUAAUGAAAACUUGGAUGCUAAAUUUGCAAUACUUUGUUGGAAACUAACCGGAUUUUGGAUCGUGUCAUUGGACAUCGUCCUUGAUCGUUAGAGAUUCCAUAAAUUCAAUUUGUUUCGCAUCGUUACGUAAAUUUAUCAUUCAAGUCUAAAUUUAUUAGUAAAAGAAACUUUUGAUUUUCCUUAUUUAACAAAAUUUUCCAUUUUUUUUUUAAUAUUUCAAAUAAUGAAAACUUGGAUGCUAAAUUUGUAAUACGGUGUCGAAGACUAACCGGAUUUUGGAUCCUGUCAUUGGACAUAGUCCUUGAUUGUUAGAGAUUCCAUAAAUUCAAUUUGUUUUCGCAUCGUUAGGUAAAUUUAUCAUUCAAGUUUUAAUUUAUUUGUAAAAAAACUUUUAAAACUUUUGAUUUCCUCAUGGAAUUUGCAAUAUGGUGUUCAAUACUAACCGGAUCUUUGAUCGUGUUAUUAGACUGAUUGUUAGAGAUUUCACAAUUCAAUUUUUUCGCAUUGCUACAUAAGUUUAUCAUUCAAGUUUCUAUUUAUUUGUUAAAACGUUUAAAAUUUUGAUUUUUCUCAUAGAUUUAAUAUGCUGUUUGAAUUAACCUUUAAAUUUAUAAGAUUUCAAAUCAUAUCUUGAAUGCCAAAUUUAUGAUACGGUGUUUACAAAGUAAUCGAAUUUUGGAUCGAGUCAUUAGACAUAGUCUUUGAUCGUUAGAGAUUUCGCAAAUUCACAUUAUUUUGUAUCAUUAUGUAAAUUUAUCAUUCAAGUAUCUUAUUAAUAUUGUUGUCGUAUCCUUAAACUAUAGGCUAUACACAGCUUUCAUAAGUAGUGGCUUUUUCAAGAAUAAGAUCAAAAGGAAAUAAUUAUUUGUCUGUAUGUUUAACAAUCUAUGGAUUCUCUCUACAGUACGCCUUUAAAAUAAACACAAGACAAACAAUAUUAGCUAAACAGAAGAGAAAACGGGAAUGGAAGAGAUCUUCUCUUACUGGACUCCAUAAACCUUCUUAAGCUGUAAAACGUAACCAAAAAGUUUCUCAGAAUCAGGCAAAGCCUUAGCCACACACUCUCUUUGCAUACACCUCUUUCCCCAAGCCAUCAGUUUCGAACACUCUGGUUCAACGCUGAAGUUACCAAACUUCUGGUAUGCUGGAAACCAACUAUAGAAUCCAAUCAGCACAAUGUCUACAAACCCGAAUGUAUCGCCGCCAAAGUAAGGUUUAUCUCCUAGCUCAGACUGAAGAGUCUUGAGUACUUCAAUAAGCUCUUUCUUGGCUGCUUCUAGCUCCUCACCUUUCGUUGCCCAAGUCUUUCUCCCACAACGGAACAGCUGUUCAUUGUGCCACGUAUACACAUAAAAUUUGAUUAGGAUCUCAAAAAGAAUCCACCAUCCAUGUUGUUUGUUACCUUCUUUUCGAUGAAAUCGGCCCAAAAUAAGGCUUGAGCUCUUUGUAUAGGAUCGGUAGGCAGGAAUGGGUUCUUGUCGGACCAGACUUCGUCUAUGUAUUGGAUUUGGAUGAUGGAUUCACAAACCGGUUUACCAUUGUGGAUUAGCACGGGGAUCUUUUUGUGAAUUUUAUUCAUCUCCAGAACCAAGGGACUCUUGUUGUUAUUGAUCACAUCCUCUUCUCUAUACUCGUACUUCACUCCUUUCUCCUCUAACGCGAUCAUCGUCCUCAUUCCAAACAUGCUCGACCAGAAACUCAUAAGGAUCACUUCGUCUCCCAUUGUUUGCGAUCGCUCGGUGAAGCUCUUCUCUUCUCGAUUCCUCUUUUACUAAGGCUUGUUAGGUAGCGUAGCCUUGUUAGGUAGCAUGUCAACUAUUAAUACAUAAUAUUAUAUAUAUAUCAAGAGAAUACAUAUAUGAAAUCUUGACUAAAAAAACUGUAUUGAUCUAUAUAUUAUUUUUAGAAAUUCCUCUUUUUGUUUUAAUGACAAAAGCUUUUUAAAAACAAAAACAAAAUGUACCACAAGCGCAUCAUAUUUGUGGUGUGGUGGAUGAAAAGGUUCUAAAUGAGUUGGUAAAGCAUGGAAGUUUACGUUCGACUUCGAGAGGACAUCUAAACUCUAUUAUUGGUUAAAGUUGAACGGUGACAAAGAACGCAAAGUGUGUGGAGUCUCCACUCAAAACCUCAAAGUUAGGGAACUGAUGAGCUGAUGAUGGAUAAGAUGUGUUUUUUAGUGGAGUUUGUUUAGACUUUAGAGAGACUGCUUUUUAGGCUGCCAUGUCCUCCCAACACACUUUUUAAAUUUAUUUUGUUUUCAUAGGGCCACUAUACUUGCAUGAUCGCAACGUGGUCACCAACUUUAUUUUAGUGACUAAGCGACAAAAAGAAUCCAACAUUAGUUUUCUCGUGAAUUUACUGAUGAAUACGACUUCACAUUGGGACGCUUAAAUAAAAAAACAUUUUAUUCAAUACUUAGGAACUAGGAUGCAUACAUGCCACCACCACACACACACAGUCACUCUGAUAUAUGCUCUCAGCUCGCAUUAUUAAGGAACACAGAAAACCAAAGUUAAAAAAACAGAACAGAAGAGAGAAAGAACAUAGAUUGACGAGAAAAGAACAAGAAUAUGAUUCUCUACUCAGAUCCGAGAUUGUUCUUCCUAAACUCAGCAACGUAUCCAACAAUCUUCUCAGAUUCAGGGAGAGACUUAGACACACUCUCUUUCUCCAUGCACCUCUUUCCCCAAGCGACCAGUUUCGGACUCUCUGCUUCGAUGCUUAUGUUACCAAACUUCUCGUAUGCUUGGAACCAACUGUAGAAUGUAAUCAAGGAAAUGUCUACAUAUCCGAAGCUAUCUCCACCAAAGUAAGGUUUGUCUCCAAGCUCAGAUUCAAGAAUCUUGAGUGCUUCAAUAAACUCCUUCUUCCCUGCUUCUUGCUCUUCACCUUUCUUCAUCCAUAUCUUCACUUGUGCUUCGGUGAACUGUAUCCAUUGUACCAUAACAUAAAAAUUUAUCAGAUGAACACAUAAAAAAAUUACAAAACUCAAAUGAAAACAUGAAACAGUACUCAUACUUAAACAAUAUGUCCUGUUUGAGACUCAAAC
rnacentral:lncRNA from 1 species